rnacentral:rRNA from 1 species
CACAUGCAAGUCGAACGGAGUUUGUUGGAUCGAUCCUUCGGGUGAUUGAAAAUAAACUGAGUGGCGGACGGGUGAGUAACACGUGAGCAACCUGCCUUUCAGAGGGGGAUAACGUCUGGAAACGGACGCUAAUACCGCAUAACGUACCGAGUGGGCAUCCACUUGAUACCAAAGGAGCAAUCCGCUGAAAGAUGGGCUCGCGUCCGAUUAGGCAGUUGGCGGGGUAACGGCCCACCAAACCGACGAUCGGUAGCCGGACUGAGAGGUUGAACGGCCACAUUGGGACUGAGACACGGCCCAGACUCCUACGGGAGGCAGCAGUGGGGGAUAUUGCACAAUGGGGGAAACCCUGAUGCAGCGACGCCGCGUGAGGGAAGAAGGUUUUCGGAUUGUAAACCUCUGUCUUUAGUGACGAAGAUGACGGUAGCUAAAGAGGAAGCCACGGCUAACUACGUGCCAGCAGCCGCGGUAAUACGUAGGUGGCAAGCGUUGUCCGGAAUUACUGGGUGUAAAGGGAGCGUAGGCGGGAAGACAAGUCGGGUGUCAAAUCUAUCGGCUCAACCGGUAGCAGCACUCGAAACUGCCUUUCUUGAGUGAAGUAGAGGUAAGCGGAAUUCCUAGUGUAGCGGUGAAAUGCGUAAAUAUUAGGAGGAACACCAGUGGCGAAGGCGGCUUACUGGGCUUUAACUGACGCUGAGGCUCGAAAGCAUGGGUAGCAAACAGGAUUAGAUACCCUGGUAGUCCAUGCUGUAAACGAUGAUUACUAGGUGUGGGGGGACUGACCCCUUCCGUGCCGGAGUUAACACAAUAAGUAAUCCACCUGGGGAGUACGACCGCAAGGUUGAAACUCAAAGGAAUUGACGGGGGCCCGCACAAGCAGUGGAGUAUGUUGUUUAAUUCGAAGCAACGCGAAGAACCUUACCAGGUCUUGACAUCCUAUGACCGCCUAAGAGAUUAGGAAUUCCCCUUCGGGGACAUANAGACAGGU